GUUAGGUCUAUUCCAUACUUCUCAUUGUUGAUUUUACAGGUUACCACAGAACUUUAGAGGUGGAAAUACUUGAGAAUACAGAGACACAUCCAGCACAGAUCCUUUUAACCACUGUUGUCGUUGUUCUGGUUCUUCAGCCCAAAAUGCUAGCAUGUGAAGACCUUUGAGAAGUGAAGAGGAAAAAAAUAGAGGGUGCCCCGCUAUGGAGUAAUCCACUGAGAAUUUACUGCCGUUUUGGAAAAUACUCCUGGUUUCACGUAUGUAUUUGUCAUUUUUUCCUUUGGCCUUGUCAAACUGAGCAUGUUAUUUUGUUGUUUGAUAAGACAUAUAUCACUUUAUGAAUUAACUAUUUAUACAUGCAUC
rnacentral:lncRNA from 1 species